rnacentral:rRNA from 1 species
GAUGAACGCUGGCGGCGUGCCUAAUACAUGCAAGUCGAGCGAACGGACGAGAAGCUUGCUCCUGGGAUGAGCGGGGGGGGGGUGUGAGUAGCCCAGGAAUCUGCUUGGUAGUGGGGGGGAACGUCCGGGAGAGGGCGCUGAUAACGCAUGCGACUAGUGGGAGCCGGUGGGGGCACAUGGGACAGCCGGUCUUGCGGUGAGUUUAGGUUGGAUUAGCGCUGGAUUAGCUAGUUGGUAAGGUAAGGGCCUACCAAGGCAACGAUGCAUAACGGGGCUGAGAGGGUGAUCAGUCACACUGGAACUGAGACACGGUCCAGACUCCUACGGGAGGCAGCAGUGGGGAAUAUUCGACAAUGGGCGAAAGCCUGAUCCAGCCAUGCCGCGUGUGUGAAGAAGGUCUUCGGAUUGUAAAGCACUGUAAGUUGGGAAGAAGAUCAGUAAGUUAAUCCCUUGCUGUCUUGACGUUACCAACAGAAUAAGCCCCGGCUAACUUCGUG